UACAGAGGUCCCGAGCGUUGUUCGGAUUCACUGGGCGUAAAGGGUGCGUAGGUGGUUGUGCAAGUCUGAUGUGAAAGCCCCGGGCUCAACCUGGGAACUGCGUCCGAUACUGGUUGGCUUGAAUCCGGGAGAGGGAUGUGGAAUUCCAGGUGUAGCGGUGAAAUGCGUAGAUAUCUGGAGGAACACCGGUGGCGAAGGCGACAUCCUGGACCGGUAUUGACGCUGAGGCGCGAAAGCCAGGGGAGCAAACGGG
rnacentral:rRNA from 1 species